rnacentral:rRNA from 1 species
GCCAGAAGUCUCGGUAAUACGUAGGGUGCAAGCGUUAUCCGGAUUUACUGGGCGUAAAGAGUGUGUAGGCGGUCUACCAAGUCGUAGCUUAAAUCCCGGGGCUCAACCCCGGUCUUGGUUACGAUACUGGAAGACUAGAAGAUUAUUCGGGGUACUGGAACAGUUGGUGUAGUGGUGAAAUACGUUGAUAUCAACUGGAACACCGAAGGCGAAGGCAAGUACCUAGGAUUUUCCUGACGCUGAGACACGAAAGCUAGGGUAGCGAAACAGAUUAGAGACCUGUGUAGUCCUAGCCGUAAACGAUGGAUGCUAGCUAGUGUGCAAGCACUGGCGUAAGCUAACGCGUUAAGCAUCCCGCCUGGGGAGUACGAACGCAAGUUUAAAACUCAAAGGAAUUGACGGGGACCCGCACAACCAGUGGAGCGUGUGGUUUAAUUCGAGACGAAGCGAAAAACCUCACCAAGGCUUGACAUGCUAGAGUUCUAGCUUCCCCAAAAGGAAGCAAUCCGUAAGGAGACUAGCACAGGUGCUGCAUGGCUGUCGUCAGCUCGUGCCGUGAGGUGUUCCCUUAAGUGGGGAAACGAGUGCAACCCUUGUCUAAUGUUAAAUAUUCAUUAGAGACUGCCUGACUUUUGUCAGGAGGAAGGAAAGGCGGACGUCAAGUCAGCAUGGCCCUUAUGCCUUGGGCUACACACACCCUACAAUGGCGAAUAACAAUGGGUUGCGAGCUCGUAAGAGCAAGCUAAUCUCAGAAAUUUCGCCUCAGUUCAGAUAGAGGUCUGAAACUCGACCUCUUGAAGUUGGAAUUGGUAGUAAUCGCGGAUCAGCGGGCCGCGGUGAAUACGUUAUCGGGUCUUGUACACACCGCCCGUCAAGGCAGCAAAGUCGAUAACUAUCGAAGGUCGCGUAUGCGGACGAGAUAGAGAUUGAUGAUGAGGCUUAAGUCGUAACAAGGUAUCCCUAGCCGAAGCUGGGGAUG